rnacentral:tRNA from 1 species
AUUCUUUUAGUAUUAACUAGUACAACUGACUUCCAAUCAGUUAGUUCCGGUACAACUCGGAAAAGAAUA